AUUGAACGCUGGCGGCAUGCUUUACACAUGCAAGUCGAACGGCAGCGCGGGCUUCGGCCUGGCGGCGAGUGGCGAACGGGUGAGUAAUACAUCGGAACGUGCCCAGUAGUGGGGGAUAGCUCGGCGACAGCCGGAUUAAUACCGCAUCCGACCUGAGGGUGAAAGCGGGGGAUCUUCGGACCUCGCGCUAUUUGAGCGGCCGAUGGCAGAUUAGCUAGUUGGUGGGGUAAAGGCCUACCAAGGCGACGAUCUGUAGCUGGUCUGAGAGGACGACCAGCCACACUGGGACUGAGACACGGCCCAGACUCCUACGGGAGGCAGCAGUGGGGAAUUUUGGACAAUGGGCGAAAGCCUGAUCCAGCAAUGCCGCGUGUGUGAUGAAGGCCUUCGGGUUGUAAAGCACUUUUGGCGGGAACGAAAAGGACUGUGCCAAUACCACGGUUCGAUGACGGUACCCGCAGAAUAAGCACCGGCUAACUACGUG
rnacentral:rRNA from 1 species